UUUCCGUAGGUGAACCUGCGGAAGGAUCAUUAUUGAAACUUAAUCCGCGGCGCCGCGGCAAUCAGCACCGGUGGAAGCACCGAGUUGCGGGGGCCGCGCGUGCACACGUCCAACCCAAACCCCUGUUAACCUUACUGGAUGGCCUGUGGUAGCGCCCGGUGCCGUUCCGCUAUAUACAAACAUUUAUCAAAGAAUGAACUGAAGGCGGACUGACCGCUGGAAAACAAAACUGAAACAACUUUCAACAACGGAUCUCUUGGCUCUC
rnacentral:misc_RNA from 1 species